GCACCAGUGGUGGAAUGGCAGACACGUACGCUUGAGGGGCGUAUGGGGUGACCCGUGCAAGUUCAAGUCUUGUCUGGUGCACCA
rnacentral:tRNA from 1 species